GCCGGGGUAGCCCAACUUGGUAGAGGCGCCGCGCUCAGAACGCGGAGGUUGCGGGUUCGAAUCCCGCCUUCGGCACUA
rnacentral:tRNA from 1 species